rnacentral:lncRNA from 1 species
AUGAAACAUUUCUCACAAAAUUCAUUAGUAGAUAACAAUAUAAAUUAAAGUAAAUAUGUUUGUUAUCUUUAAAACAUCAAUAAAAGAUUUUGCUCUCAACAGUAUUGACUGCCAUUUGUUUUUUGAUGUAAUUUUUUUGGUCUAACUUAUGCACUUGGGCACUUAUGCACUUGCCUACUAUGUAACUGUUUUUUGGUCUGUCAUAUGCACUUGGUGUGCACUAUGUUUUGGAACUAGAUGCUUUCCUUUUAAUUUCUGUUUUAUGCUACAUUACGUGCACUUGAUGUGCUUUAAUUUGUAAUGAGAAAUAUGCACAUAAUGUGCUUUAUUAUGCU